rnacentral:rRNA from 1 species
UUGGGACUGAGACACGGCCCAAACUCCUACGGGAGGCAGCAGUGGGGAAUCUUGCACAAUGGAGGAAACUCUGAUGCAGCGAUGCCGCGUGAGUGAAGAAGGCCUUUGGGUUGUAAAGCUCUUUCGUCGGGGAAGAAAAUGACUGUACCCGAAUAAGAAGGUCCGGCUAACUUCGUGCCAGCAGCCGCGGUAAUACGAAGGGACCUAGCGUAGUUCGGAAUUACUGGGCUUAAAGAGUUCGUAGGUGGUUGAAAAAGUUGGUGGUGAAAUCCCAGAGCUUAACUCUGGAACUGCCAUCAAAACUUUUCAGCUAGAGUAUGAUAGAGGAAAGUAGAAUUUCUAGUGUAGAGGUGAAAUUCGUAGAUAUUAGAAAGAAUACCAAUUGCGAAGGCAGCUUUCUGGAUCAUUACUGACACUGAGGAACGAAAGCAUGGGUAGCGAAGAGGAUUAGAUACCCUCGUAGUCCAUGCCGUAAACGAUGUGUGUUAGACGUUGGAAAUUUAUUUUCAGUGUCGCAGCGAAAGCGAUAAACACACCGCCUGGGGAGUACGACCGCAAGGUUAAAACUCAAAUGAAUUGACGGGGACCCGCACAAGUAGUGGAGCAUGUGGUUUAAUUCGAAGAUACGCGCAGAACCUUACCAACACUUGACAUGUUCGUCGCGACUCUAAGAGAUUAGAGUUUUCGGUUCGGCCGGACGAAACACAGGUGCUGCAUGGCUGUCGUCAGCUCGUGUCGUGAGAUGUUGGGUUAAGUCCCGCAACGAGCGCAACCCUCACUUUUAGUUGCCAUCAUUAAGUUGGGCACUCUGAAAGAACUGCCAGUGAUAAGCUGGAGGAAGGUGGGGAUGACGUCAAGUCCUCAUGGCCCUUACGUGUUGGGCUACACACGUGCUACA